rnacentral:rRNA from 1 species
UACGGGGGGAGCAAGCGUUGUUCGGAUUUACUGGGCGUAAAGGGCGCGUAGGCGGCGUGACAAGUCACUUGUGAAAUCUCCGGGCUUAACCCGGAGCGGCCAAGUGAUACUGUCGUGCUGAGAGUGCGGGAAGGGCUACUGGAAUUCUCGGUGUAGCGGUGAAUGCGUAGAUAUCGAGAGGAACACCUGCGGCGAAGGCGGGUAGCUGGGCCGACACUGACGCUGAGGCGCGAAAGCCAGGGAGCGAACGGG